UGAAUGUAAGGUGGUUGAGAUGUUGGUGAAUGUGUGUUUGGUGGUGUUUGUAUAUAUGGAGGUUGGGAAUUUGGUGAAGGGGCACCUUGAGGUGUUUGAGAAGAUGGUGAAGGAGUUUUUGGAGGUGUUGGAUUAAUAUAAGGUGGUUGUGAUUUUGGGGAAUUAGUGUUUGGAGGUGUUGGAUUAAUGUAAGGUGGUUGUGAUGUUGGGGAAUGAGUGUUUGGAGGUGUUGAAAUAUAAGGGGCUUGAGAAAUGGGUGAAGGGGUUUUAGGAAUAGAAGGCGGUUGGGAAAUGGGAGAAGGUUUUUUUGGAGGUGUUGGAAUAUAUGGAGGUUGAGAAAUAGGAGAGGGUGUGUAAGGGAUAUUAGGAGGAUUGGUAAUAGGAGAAGGAGAUUUUGGUGGUGUAAUUGGGACAUAUGGUGGUUGAGAGAUAGGAGAAGGGGUUUUUGGAGGAGUUGGUGGUUGAUUGCUAGGGGAAGGAGCUUUUGGGGGAGUAUAAGGAACAUUAGGGGGAUUAUAAGUAGGAGAAGGAGUGUUGGGUGGACUAUUGUGAGUAGGAGAAGGGGUUUUUGGAGGUGUAAUUGGUACAUAUGGUGGUUGAUUACUAGGGGAAGGAGCUUUUGGUGGAGUAUAAGGACCACUAGGGGGAUUAUAAGUAGGAGGAGUGUUGGGUGGACUACUGUGAGUAGGAGAAGGGGCUUUUGGAGGUGUAAUUGGUACAUAUGGUGGUUGGUUACUAGGGGAAGGAGAUUUUGGAGGAGUGUAAGGAACAUUAGGAGGAUUGUAAGUAGGAGAAUGUGCUUUUGGAGGAGUUGAUACAUAUGGUGGUUCAUUGCUAGGGGAAGGAGUUUUUGGGGGAGUGUAAGGAACAUUAGGAGGAUUGUGGAUAGGAGAAGGAGUUUUUGGUGGUGAAAUUGGUGCAUAUGGUGGUUGAUUGCUAGGAGAAUGAGCUUUGGGGGGUGUGUAUGGAACAUUAGGUGGAUUGUAAAUGGGAGAAGGAGUUUUAGGAGGUGUACUUUUUGGAGGUGUAUAAGGAGUGUUGGGAGGACUAUGAGUAGGAGAAGGUGUUUUUGGUGGUGUAAUUGGUACAUAAGUAGGAGGUGUAAUUUUGGGGGGUGUAUAAGGAGUAUUGGGAGGACUAUAAGUAGGAGAAGGUGAUUUUGGUGGUGUAAUUGGUACAUAAGGUGGUUGAUUGGGAGAUGGAGCUUUUGGAGGAUUGUGAAUGGGAGAAGGAGUUUUUGGAGGUGUAGGAACAUAGGGAGGUUGAUUGGUAGGAGGAGUACUUUUGGGGGGUGUAUAAGGAAUAUUGGGAGGACUAUAAUUAGGAGAUGUUUUUGGUGGUGUAAUUGGUACAUGUGGUGGUGGUUGAUUUGGAGAUGGAGCUUUUGGAGGUGUAUAAGGAACAUUAGGAGGAUUGUAAAUAGGUGAAGGAGUUUUUGGAGGUGUAGGAACAUAGGGAGGACUAUAACUAGGAGAAGGUGUUUUUGGAGGUGUUAUUGGAACAUAAGGAGAAGGAGUAUUUUUUCUCACAGCCAUCACCACAACAAUAAUUUUCUGACCCUUUUCACAAUUAUCAUCUUUUCCACUAAUGAAGUAAAAAGG
rnacentral:lncRNA from 1 species